rnacentral:rRNA from 1 species
GCUUAUCACCAUUCCAGAUUGAAUAUACCCGAUCUCGUCUGAUCUCGGAAGACAAGCAAUCUCCGGCUUGGUUAGUACUUGGAUGGGCGACCGC